AAUCUUCAGGGCGAGGUGCAAUUCCUCACCGGCGGUCAUAGCCCGCGAGCCGUUUGGCUGAUUUGGUGAAAUUCCAAAGCCGACAGUAUAGUCUGGAUGAGAGAAGAUG
rnacentral:ncRNA from 1 species